GAGAAUCAGGGAUCAUGCUGUUUCUGUUUCUUGAGACCCAAAGGGUUGCUAACUUCUCUGCAUUACGUCCUGUGUAGUUCACAUAGGACCUAUUCAGCAGUGAUGAGGGUAAGCAGUGGGGGCUGUUUAGACUAGCCAGAGCAUGAAAAGGCUCUGUGGGUUUCCCUUUUCUGCACUUGCGAAUCUGUAAGCACUACAGUAUGUGUCUUACAGAAAAGGAAAAAAGAGAAUAAAAUGAAAAAGAAGAAAGAAAAGAAGAAAAAGAGAGAGAAAACAGGACCUGUCCAACUUUCUAAGUUCUUCAAAAACAAAAAGAAGAAUGAAAACUACAGCAUGAUAACUGGAAAGAAAAUUAAGAUGAAAAUAAAGAAGUCGAAGAAGGAUAAAGAGAGAGAUCGGAACCGUGCAGAGCUGCUUGAAUUUCUGAACUCUGCCUUAUAAGGGGAAGAGUGCUGCCCAAGGACUUGUACAUAACACCAAGCCAACGAUCAGCAUGCCUAGCAAAACACUAGCAGGAAACUCAGGGAAAAGGACGCCGAGUUUGACAAGACCAGACGGACUCUCCUGCUGUGAAGACAAUCAGGAUGUCCUUUUUUAAUGGCAAAAUGAAGAGUGACUGAUAACCUCCUAAUGAAGAUCCAUGUCCUCCUUUUGAGAUCCUAAGGUAAUAGCCAGGCUGUGGUGGUUUAGAAGAGCCUAAGAGCGUGUCACUGACAGUGAUGAGAAAUGACACGCUGAGGUCCAAUAAUGUAAUUUCUAUCAUAACUGCAUGCAGAACACACUUUCAAUUUCAUAUGUCUUAAUGUUUCUAGUCGCUUAAACAAAGCAGAGUAUUUGUAAAUGUCUAUUUGAAAGAUGAGACAUUUCUAUAUGUAUAUUUUUUCCAGUAGUGGUUUUACUUGUCCUGAAGAGCAGGUUGACCUUUGUAAAUAGAACAUCCUUUUACAUAAAUGAUUUUUUGACAGUUCAUUCAUUAAUAUAUUAUUUUCUUUCAGCGUGAGAUGUGGUCCUUCUCUGGACAGUUUUAUUACUCUUUGUCACUAGAAAGCGUCAACAGUAAAAUAUUCUGGAGCAA